UCCCCGUUACCGGGGCAGUCUGAAUAGAAAAAUCCAACUAUUCAUAAGGGUUGCGCUCGUUAAUGGACUUAACCAAACAUCUCACGACACGAGCUGACGACGGCCAUGCAGCACCUGUCACCAAGUUCAAUAAAGCACUCUCAUCUUUCGACAAAAUUCUUGGGAUGUCAAACCCUGGUAAGGUUCUUCGCUUAUCGUCGAAUUAAAGAACAUCCUCCACCGCUUGUGCGGGUCCCCGUCAAUUCCUUUAUGUUUUAGUCUUGCGACCGUACUCCACAGGCGGGAUACUUAACGCGUUAGCUUCGUUACUGAGGGGGUCGAUACCCCCAACAACUAGUAUCCAUCGUUUACGGCGUGGACUAC
rnacentral:misc_RNA from 1 species